rnacentral:piRNA from 1 species
UGCUCUGGUGGUACCUGACCUUGUGCC